CGCCCUCGCGGAUCGAUCCUGGACUCGCGCACUCCUUGUAAACAACUCCGAACUGGUUUCUAGCCCUCACUCUUUUUCCUCUUUGCUGUCUUUCCCCGUCCAACAAACAUACAAAGAAGUACGCCAAAAGUUACUUGAGGAUAUAGGAAGAAGGCAGCUGUCUACAAGCCAGGAAGAGACCCUUACCAGACAUCAGAUCAGCUCGUGCCUUGAUCUUCUACUUCCCAGCUUCCAAAAACAUGAGAAAUAAAUAUUUAUUGUUUAAGCUA